CCAAUGAUUCAUAAUAUUAUAGGAACAAAACACUUGCAUCUACAACCAGAACAAGAUACUGAAACAUCAUGCACACAACUAGAUGAAACCUUUGAGUUAUAUCAAAGAAUAAGCACAAUAACAACAUUAUUCGACAUAUAAUAUUAUUGGUCUGUGCAUGGCAUCAGAUGCACCACAUCUCCCAUAAUAGCCCUUCGUUUUUAAUUAUUCUAUUCCCUAUCUAUUUAUCUUUCUAUAUAUUCAUCCAUGUUGAUUUAAUUUUGAUUCCAAUUUUAUCUAUAAAUAAGGACUUCUCCAUGCAGCUUAAUUAUAACUUGGGGACGACCAAUCAAUACACAGAGCUUUGUAGAGAAAUUUUAAUACAAUUUACCUAACACUCAUAAUUUCAAUCUUAUAUAUUUCUUAAGGGUACACCAAUGGCAUCAGUCAAGGCUGAGAAACCUGCUCAAUCUACCGCUCCGGUCAAGAAGGUGCCGACAAAAUCAACCACCGCAAAAUCAACCAUCGCAAAAUCAACCUCCAGUGCUCCCAAGGCUCCAGCCUCCCUGUCGGCACCUAAAAAGGUUGAGCAAAAACCGAGAGAGCCUAGGAGGAAGACAACAGCAAGCAAGCCAGCAGCGAAAUGAAGUGAUGCAGCCAUUAAUGUGAAGAAGAAGUCAUGAGAUACUUAUAGUUCAUGGCGAUUCAUUUUCAUAUCUAUCCAUUUGAAUGUUUGAACUUUGUUUACCAACUUAUCCAAGUCUCUCCUCUUAGGCUCUGCCUUCUCAUGAAUAAAAUGUUAAAUUUAAUGUAAAA